ACCCCACUCCAGUACUCUUGCCUGGAAAAUCCCAUGGGCGGAGGAGCCUGGUGGGCUGCAGUCCAUGGGGUCGCUAAGAGUCGGGAACGACUGAGUGACUUCACUUUCACUUUUCACUUUCAUGCAUUGGAGAAGGAAAUGGCAACCCACUUCAGUAUUCUUGCCUGGAGAGUCCCAGGGACAGAGGAGCCUAGUGGGCUGCCGUCUAUGGGGUCGUACAGAAUCGGACACGACUGAAGAGACUUAGCAGCAGUAGCAGCAGAUGUACCUCGAGGGAUAAUUUGAAUUGUUUCUCAGAUAUGGAACUGCUUGAUAAAAGAGGGAUCGAACCUGUCAGAGUCUUAACAGUGGGUCACCAGAGAAGCCCUUCAUCCUUCAUUCUUACCAUCUCAAGGUAUGUGUAGUUUGCAAACAUUACUAUGCCCCACAUCUGUAAUAAUAAUCCUAGUAGCUUUUCUAUAACAUAGGGUAAGCCUUCAGGAAUUUGCUGUGCAUUGUGUGUGUGUGUUCAGUCAUGUGCAAGUCUUUGCAACUCCAUGGACUGUAGCCCUCUAGGUUCCUCUGUCCAUGGAAUUUUCCAGCCAAAAAAUACUGUAGGGUUGCCAUUUCCUACUCCAGGGGAUCGUUCUGGCCUAGGGAUCAAACCUGCAUGUCUUCUCUUCUAUAUUGGCAGGUGGAUUCUUUACCACUGUGCCACCUGGGAAGCUAUGCAUUAGUCACAGCUAAUAUUGAGUUCAUAGUAAAUGCCAGGUAUGAUUCUAAGCAUCCCACAUAUUUUACCCCAUUUAAUCUUCACCCAAUAUUAUAAGGUGGGUAUAGUAUUAUUCCCUCAAAACAGAUGAAGGAACUGAGAUUUGAGGCUUAAUGAGAUUAAAUAAGACAUGGCAGCCCACUCCAGUAUUCUUGUUUUGGAGAAUCCCAUGUACAGAGGAGCCUGGCGGACUACAGUCCAUGAGGCUGCAGAGUCAGACACCACUUAGGGACUGAGCACACACCCCCAACGAGACUGAAUAACUUGUCUGAGAUGACAGAGUAAAUGCCAGAGAAGUGGUUUUUAGGUUAGAAUCUAUUGUCUCCUGAAAUGUGAAUGUUAAGACAUGAGAGGAAGAAGUCUUAGAGGACUCUGAUUCUGAAAGGGACGUAUACCAGCCUGUGCGCCAGGAGGCCUCUGGGUCUGCAUCUGCCACAGCGGCUUGUGGACCUCUUCUCUGGAGUGGAACAACAAAAAGCCAAAUUCUCUGGCUUUUUCCAUCCUGUCGUUGAAAGUUGCCCCUCUCCGUCCCCACACCCCCUUUCCGGUCACGGCAGCCUGAACUUUAACGACAGACUAAAGUGUGAUUCUGGGCAAGUGACUUAACUGACACUGCACAUAGGGAUGAUGAUAAUAGUGUCUAGUUCCUACAAUUUUGUGUGCCAUGAGCAUCCAGAUGCAUGUCAGCAGGGGCUCAAUAAACGAUUACUGUUUUUCACGAUUCAACCCCACGACCCUUUAAUCGACUGAGACCACAAGACUAACAACCCUCGCUGGAGGCAAUGGACUAGCUGAGCCGGUCUGGGCCGUGGACACCUGCCUCACUGCUGGGCAGCCCUCCCCUCAGCAGCACAAAGCCUGUACUGCACCGGCCAAGAAAUCAACCUUCCUUUCACCUCUCACUGUGAAAAUUCACGGUGGACCUACAAGGGAGGUGAACAACGACCUGGCCCCGCAGGGCUGGACAAUGAAAAAGGCACGCCCCCGACAAGUUUAAAAUGAGAAGCCAGUGCAGGCUGGGUCCCGACUGGCCCUGAGGAACGUCCAGCCGCCAGCGGUGGGACCCUGGACUGAC
ensembl:lncRNA